GUUUUUCGCUUGAGGAUGAGCCCAUAUAAAAUUAGCUAGUUGGUGAAGUAAUGGCUCACCAAGGCGACGAUCCCUAACUAGUCUUAGAGGAUGAUCAGUCACACUGGAACUAAGACACGGUCCAGACUCCUACAAGAAACAGCAGUAGGAAAUAUUGCUCAAUAAAGGAAACUCUAAUGCAGCGACACCGCAUGAGUGAUGAAGGCCUUCGAAUCGUAAAGCUCUGUCAUAUGGGACUAACAAAAUG
rnacentral:rRNA from 1 species